GACGAACGCUGGCGGCGUGCGUAAUACAUGCAAGUAGGACGCAGUUGCGAACGGGUGAGUAACGCGUAGGUAACUACCUAUUAGAGGGGGAUAACUAGUGGAAACGAUAGCUAAUCCCGCAUACUAGUAGAUGGACCUGCGUUGUAUUAGGUAGUAGGUGGGGUAAUGGCCUACCUAGGCAACGAUACAUAGCCGACCUGAGAGGGUGAUGGGCCCCCCUGGGACUGGGACACGGCCCAGACUCCUACGGGAGGCAGCAGUAGGGAAUCUGCGGCAAUGUGGGGAACCCUGAGCGAGCAACGCCGAGUGAGUGAAGAUGGUUUUCGGAUCGUAAUGCUCUGUUGUUAAGGAAGCGGUACUUAACCAGAAAGGGACGGCUAACUACGUGCCAGCCGCCGCGGUAAUUC
rnacentral:rRNA from 1 species